UACGUAGGUGGCAAGCGUUGUCCGGAUUUAUUGGGCGUAAAGCGAGCGCAGGUGGUUCUUUAAGUCUGUUGUGAAAGCCCUCAGCUCAACUGAGGAAGUGCAGCGGAAACUAAAGGACUUGAGUACAGAAGAGGAUAGUGGAACUCCAUGUGUAGCGGUGAAAUGCGUAGAUAUAUGGAAGAACACCAGUGGCGAAGGCGGCUAUCUGGUCUGUUACUGACACUGAGGCUCGAAAGCAUGGGUAGCGAACAGG
rnacentral:rRNA from 1 species